CCUACGGGAGGCAGCAGUAAGGAAUAUUGGUCAAUGGAGGCAACUCUGAACCAGCCAUGCCGCGUGCAGGAAGAAGGCCCUAUGGGUCGUAAACUGCUUUUGUACCAGAGAAAACCCGAGUACGUGUACUCGGUUGAUAGUAUGGUAAGAAUAAGCAUCGGCUAACUUCGUGCCAGCAGCCGCGGUAAGACGAAGGAUGCAAGCGUUAUCCGGAUUCAUUGGGUUUAAAGGGUGCGUAGGCGGACUGAUAAGUCAGUGGUGAAAUCUCUCGGCUUAAACCGAGAAACUGCCAUUGAUACUGUUAGUCUAGAGUAUAGAUGACGUUGGCGGAAUAUGACAUGUAGUGGUGAAAUACCUUAGAUAUGU
rnacentral:rRNA from 1 species